AUGCAAGUCGAGCGGAGACAGUGAGUAGCUUGCUAUGAGCUGUUUUAGCGGCGGACGGGUGAGUAACGCGUGAGCAACCUUUCCCAGACAGGGGAAUAACACACCGAAAGGUGUACUAAUACCGCAUAAGACCACGGGAUCAUAUGGUUCUGGGGUAAAAGAUUUAUCGGUUUGGGGUGGGCUCGCGUCCGAUUAGGUAGUUGGUGAGGUAACGGCCCACCAAGCCGACGAUCGGUAGCCGACCUGAGAGGGUGAUCGGCCACAUUGGGACUGAGACACGGCCCAAACUCCUACGGGAGGCAGCAGUGGGGAAUAUUGGGCAAUGGGGGGAACCCUGACCCAGCAACGCCGCGUGGAGGAAGAAGGUUUUCGGAUCGUAAACUCCUGUCCUUGGAGACGAGUAGAAGACGGUAUCCAAGGAGGAAGCCCCGGCUAACUACGUGCCAGCAGCCGCGGUAAUACGUAGGGGGCAAGCGUUGUCCGGAAUAAUUGGGCGUAAAGGGCGCGUAGGCGGCUCGGUAAGUCUGGAGUGAAAGUCCUGCUUUUAAGGUGGGAAUUGCUUUGGAUACUGUCGGGCUUGAGUGCAGGAGAGGUUAGUGGAAUUCCCAGUGUAGCGGUGAAAUGCGUAGAGAUUGGGAGGAACACCAGUGGCGAAGGCGACUAACUGGACUGUAACUGACGCUGAGGCGCGAAAGUGUGGGGAGCAAACAGGAUUAGAUACCCUGGUAGUCCACACUGUAAACGAUGAAUGCUAGGUGUAGGGGGUAUCGACCCCUUCUGUGCCGCAGUCAACACAAUAAGCAUUCCGCCUGGGGAGUACGGCCGCAAGGUUGAAACUCAAAGGAAUUGACGGGGGCCCGCA
rnacentral:rRNA from 1 species